GUAUGGAAGGUGGAACCUGGUAAGCGGUUCGAGCAGGCAAAUCCGCUCGGGCAUUCAACGCCGAAAAGGGAGUCCGGAGUCGUAAGACUCGCAAGGGAGCAAUGCCACGCUGCCGAGAAAAACCUCUAAGGAGAUUUGAUGUUGACCGUACCGCAAACCGACACAGGUAGACGAGGAUGUAAUGUCCAAAGGCGCUUGAGAGAACACUCGUUCAGGAACUCGGCAAAUUAACUCCGUAACUUCGGGAGAAGGAGUGCCCCCGCAAGGGGGCCGCAGUGAAAUGCGAAGGGCGACUGUUUAACAAAAACACAGGUCUCUGCUAAGUCGAAAACGACGUAUAGGGGCUGACGCCUGCCCGGUGCCGGAAGGUUAAAAGGAGCGGUUAGCGGUAGCAAUACUGCGAAGCUGUGAAUUGAAGCCCCGGUGAACGGCGGCCGUAACAAUAACGGUCCUAAGGUAGCGAAAUUCCUUGUCGGGUAAGUUCCGACCUGCACGAAUGGCGUAACGAUCCUUCGACUGUCUUAACGAGUGACUCAGCGAAUUUGUAGUUCCGGUGAAGAUGCCGGAUGCCCGCACCUAGACGAGAAGACCCCGUGCACCUUUACUAUACCCUAACAAUGAUUUAUGGAACCUCAUGCGCAGCAUAGGUGGGAGGCUUUGAACCAUGGCUUUUGGGCUGUGGGGAGCCGACGGUGAGAUACCACCCUUGUUGUUCUGUGAAUCUAACCUAGGUCCCUUAUCGGGAUCAGGGACAUUGUUAGGCGGGUAGUUUGACUGGGGCGGUCGCCUCCUAAAUUGUAACGGAGGCGCUCAAAGGUUACCUCAGGCUGUUUGGAAAUCAGCCGUCGAAUGUAAAGGUAUAAGGUAGCUUGACUGCGAGACCAACAAGUCGAGCAGGUAGGAAACUAGGACUUAGUGAUCCGGUGGUUCUGUAUGGAAGGGCCAUCGCUCAACGGAUAAAAGGUACGCCGGGAUAACAGGCUGAUCCGGGCCAAGAGUUCACAUCGACGCCUGGGUUUGGCACCUCGAUGUCGGCUCAUCGCAUCCUGGGGCUGUAGAAGGUCCCAAGGGUUAGGCUGUUCGCCUAUUAAAGCGGUACGUGAGCUGGGUUCAGAACGUCGCGAGACAGUUCGGUCUCUAUCUGGUGUGGGCGUAGGAGAUUUGAGAGGGUCUGACCUUAGUACGAGAGGACUGGGUUGGACGGACCUCUAGUGUACCAGUUGUCACGCCAGUGGCACGGCUGGGUAGCUAUGUCCGGUUGGGAUAAACGCUGAAAGCAUCUAAGCGUGAAGCCUGCCUCGGGAUUAGAUCUCCCGGGAGCAAUCCCCUAAAGACCCGUGGAAGACCACCACGUUGAUAGGCAGGAUGUGUAAGCGUAGUAAUACGUUUAGCUGACCUGUACUAAUCGGUCGUGAGGCUUGAUCGA
rnacentral:rRNA from 1 species